GAAUAUUGGACAAUGGGCGAAAGCCUGAUCCAGCCAUGCCGCGUGUGUGAAGAAGGUCUUCGGAUUGUAAAGCACUUUAAGGUGGGAGGAAGGGCAGUAAGCGAAUACCUUGCUGUUUUGACGCUACCGACAGAAUAAGCACCGGCUAAAGCCGUGCCAGCCACCCCGGUAAUACAGAGGGUGCAAGCGUUAAUCGGAAUUACUGGGCGUAAAGCGCGCGUAGGUGGUUCGUUAAGUUGGAUGUGAAAUCCCCGGGCUCAAACUGGGAACGGCAUCCAAAACUGGCGAGCUAGAGUAGGGCAGAGGGUGGUGGAAUUUCCUGUGUAGCGGUGAAAUGCGUAGAUAUAGAAAGGAACACCAGUGGCGAAGGCGACCACCUGGGCUCAUACUGACACUGAGGUGCGAAAGCGUGGGGAGCAAACAG
rnacentral:rRNA from 1 species